AGGAUUCAUUUAUUUCAAUCAAAUGAUCAUAUGAUACAUAAUCCCACAUUACAAAAGAAAUAAUAUAGCUAGAACAUGGUUGAUUAAUAUCUAUAAUAAACUGUUAGAAAAUCUUUAAAACAGGAUUUCACUUCAAGAAGUGCUUCACCUGCGACUCAUACUUCGGGCUACUAGACGGCUGAAUUUCUUGUCCGUCUCCUCGUGCUACUCGUAUGUUUUUG
rnacentral:misc_RNA from 1 species